rnacentral:rRNA from 1 species
UACGGGGGGGGCCAGCGUUGUUCGGAAUUACUGGGCGUAAAGUGCUCGUAGGUGGCCAACUAAGUCGGACGUGAAAUCCCUCGGCUUAACCGGGGAACUGCGUCCGAUACUGGAUGGCUUGAGUUUGGGAGAGGGAUGCGGAAUUCCAGGUGUAGCGGUGAAAUGCGUAGAUAUCUGGAGGAACACCGGUGGCGAAGGCGGCAUCCUGGACCAACACUGACACUGAGGAGCGAAAGCCAGGGGAGCAAACGGG